UUUUGGGAGCUUGCUCCCGAAGGUUAGCGGCGGACGGGUGAGUAACACGUGGGCAACCUGCCUAUAAGACUGGGAUAACUUCGGGAAACCGGAGCUAAUACCGGAUAAUUCUUUUCUACACAUGUAGAAAAGCUAAAAGACGGUUUACGCUGUCACUUAUAGAUGGGCCCGCGGCGCAUUAGUUAGUUGGUGAGGUAACGGCUCACCAAGGCCACGAUGCGUAGCCGACCUGAGAGGGUGAUCGGCCACACUGGGACUGAGACACGGCCCAGACUCCUACGGGAGGCAGCAGUAGGGAAUCUUCCGCAAUGGACGAAAGUCUGACGGAGCAACGCCGCGUGAGUGAUGAAGGUUUUCGGA
rnacentral:rRNA from 1 species